UUUCGUUCGAAUUCGAACGAAUUUAACCAAUUCGAUGGUCGAAGUACCCAAAAAAUACUUAGAAAUUCGAAUUUUUUUCAUUCGAAUCCUUCACUCGAGCUUAGUGAAUCGGCCCCUAAAAGUCUCUACCAUAACAUCAAUUAGGGCCAAAAACAUUACUGUUAUAUAUUUGUUUAUAUUACCUUAUCUGCAACCAAAGUAUUUUGGUCUUGCUCUUCUGCUAUUAAAUUUUGAUUACGGAGACAAUCUGACACAGGACAAGAAGAGAUUAACUCUUAACUAAAUUGGAACAGCGAGUGCUAUAUAUGAGGAGUAUUUCACUUUUAAGCAUAUCUCAAAAGUAUAACAAUGUGAGAAACACUGAAACACUUUCUCACAUAGCCAUCCCUAUCGUCAUACAGAGCCCUCCUGCUGUCUUGCACUUUCAAGCGAUAUAAAAAAACUAGACAGGACCCAGUGCAUUGUAGCAAUUUCCAUUCACAGACUGAAUCAGCAGUUUAUUGCCCCGUGCGUGGGGCCAUCCGACGGGGCCAUCCUACUUCAAUGUGGACAUAUCGGGGAGAGAUCCGCUCGUUUGGCGACAUCGCCAAACGAGCGGAUCUCUACGUAUAUGGCCACCUUUAAGCUGCUUUUAUAAUCAGAAUGAUGGGGCUCUCCCUUGCCCCUAAUCUGUACGUUAACAAUUGUCUGCUGUUGUGGUCUACUGGCCAGAGUUGAAUGGGGCUCAUUUAUAAACACUGGACAAAUUUGCAACCGGGCAGCAACCAAUCAGUGACUGGCCUUUUUCAGCCACCUGCAGGUUGAGCAAUGAAAGCAAACCUUUGACUGGUUGUCAUGGGUUACUGCUCAGGUGCAAAUUUGCCCAGUGCAUAUAAAUGAGCCCCACUGUGUUCUGAUGGAUUAACCUUUUGGACACCACUUGCCUAGCAGAUGCAGCAGUGGUUGUAAAACUGAGUCUGAUGAUAAAAAUAGUGGGCACGAUAAAGAAAAAAAAGGCAGUCUUCCUGAAGAUUUCUCACAGCUUGCACUACUGAAAGCAUGCAGUCUUUUCCCAAUUCUCUUAAUCCAAUAUGGAGAUACAGUACUGACUACAGUAUGACUAUAUCCACAGCUGGUGGUUGGGGCUAAAGAUCAGUCAAUCAGACCUCAAGCCAGGUUCACAUUUUGAUAUAUUUUUAAAUGCUGCAUGUAUCUGCUGAAGCCAGGUUCAAGCUAUAGGAUCCAUGCUGAACAAGUUUCCACAACAUAAAAACAACCCACAUUCAUAGCGCUGAAUGUUUUUCAUCUGUUCAGUGCUUGGAUACUUUAAAAGUAGGAGGGAAUUUAGAGAUACUGAAAGUGGUGAUGUUGUUUUAGUAGGAUUUUCAAAUACACUUAAUUAGAUUCCAGUGGCAAUAAAUGUCAUGGCAACAGCUGGUUCAAAGAUCCAUGCUGAUUGCAAAUGCCAACUUACUAUGUAUUCUCUAUGCAUGAUUUGAUAGUACAAAUAGAGAGUAGGUGGGUCCAGAAUAUAGUAAGGGGCUAGGGAUUAGAAAGAAUUAAGGUCUGUCAUUUAAAUAAAAUAUCUUCACUUUCAGCAGCAGAAACAUUCUGCAGUGCCAAUAAUGUAAAUAUCAUUGGUAUCAUUUCAAAUCUUCAGCAUAUUUUUACCAGUCUCAUUCACAGUCUAUACACUAUACAAAACAGGCCCCAUCCCCUGCCCAGACUGUGAAGGGGCAAUAGAUGGCAACCCGAGUUCUCUCUACUUCGUCAAUAGGUGUAACUGUGUGCGAUGCAUAUGAACAGACUGGUGGGAAACAUUGGCAUUUUACGCCAAAAGGUUUAAGUGCAAGGAGAGGCUUUCGACACAAGAACUUUUUUUCAUUGCCAAAUUGUUUCCCCCACUUGAGGUGCACGCUAAUAAACCAACAUUCCAGUUGGGGGAAACAGUACUAUUUUAGGCAAAAAAAUUCCGAAAGCGAGUGUAGCCCUUUAGGUUUUCUUUGCAAAAAAGCUUAUUCACUUUUCAUUUUUAUUUCCAAAGAAUGGAAUAGUUUUUCAUUGGGUGAUCCAGCUUAAUCAAAGAAAAAGGCAGAAGAAGACAUUUUCCUGCAAUUAAACUAGAUUGCUGAUCUCCUGCAGGCUAUCUGCGACCUUACCUGUUAGGGUAAGGGCACACCUGGCGAUUUGGGGAGAUUCGUAUUCCGAAGUCGCCUGAAGUUUCCUCGUGAGGCAAUACGAAGGGCCGCGUGUGCCAUGCCACAGGUGACUUUUCAUUAUAGCUGGCGCAAGACACAGGGAAGGCAUUUGGGGAGAUUAGUCGCCGCCAGGCGACUAAAUCUCCCCGAAUCGCCAGGUGUGCCCUUACCCUUAAGAAGGGAUACAUUACCCUCAAUUAACAUACAAUACUGCUUUAACCAGUGGUUUUACAAUACACAGAUCCUUUUGUAUAACUGAAGAAUUAAACGUUUCCCAGUGAUUUUCAUGGUACCUUUGUGACUGGUAUAUUGAAUCAUUGGGCUUGGACUGUAUUACCUUUUUUUUUUUUAACAAUCCUUUAUUUAGGUAAAUUUCAAGAAAGGGGGGAACAGAAAGAAAAAAAGGGGGGGGUAGAAGGGGGCAACAAGUUCAGGUUUCCAUAAUAUUCGUAAAAAUAUACACAGCAAAGAAUUCAAAUAACAAUGUAGCAGGUAAACAGCAAGUUAUUACUGUACUCGAACUUUUCAUACAUGCAAUGUCUUCUACAGUAUAUAUCUAGACCUCAUAUAGGUGUAGUAUUAUAAGGCCAAGUCACUGUUAAGGUCACAUUAUUACUGUAUUCCCACCUAAGAAGUUAAGAUUUCCGAGACUGGACAGAAUGAGGGUGAAGACCCUAAUCAGCCUUAUGAAUUUACUAUUAGUUGUUUUGACAAAAAUAAAUCCAUGGUUACCAUGUCUCCCAAUAUGCCUUGCUUUGGUUGUGAGUGAGAAGGGUAAUCUCUUCCAUUUGUCUCACUUCCUCAACUUUCAGUAACCAUUCUCCUAUUGACGGAGCUUCGAUUGAUUUCCAUUUUCGGGGUAUUAAAGCUUUAGCUGAUUGCAUGAGGUGCAAGGAGUGAAUCCGGCCUGGUCUGUAUGAAUAAAUUCAGGUUACUACCCAUAGACAUUAAUUUACCACGCAGGACACACUUAACGGUUUCCCACAGUGUUACUGGAGAAAUGUCUGGUGUAUCGUUGGUUUGGAUUAUGUUUUCUAUCCAGGACUGUAUCUGUUCCCUUCUCUUUUCAGUAUGUAAUAAGAAUUCAUUAAGGCGCCAUGUAAAUUCUGAUCGUAACGUUUUAGGGAUAGAGAAUUUGUCCAAUACCGGAGAAUGGUCUGAUACUAAGAGAGGACCGAUGUCAGCCUUCGUGAACAAUCUCAACCAAUGAUGAGAUAUAAAGAUGUAAUCAAUUCUCGAAUAAACUAAGUGAACUU